rnacentral:rRNA from 1 species
UACGGAGGGGCUAGCGUUGUCCGAAGUUACUGGGCGUAAAGCGCGCGUAGGCGGGUUGGUAAGUCCGCUGUGAAAGCCCGGAGCUCAACUCCGGAGGGUCGGUGGAUACUGCCAGUCUUGAAGGUGCUAGGGGAGAUGGAAUUACCGGUGUAGCGGUGAAAUGCGUAGAUAUCGGUAGGAACACCAGUGGCGAAGGCGGUCUCCUGGGGCAUUCUUGACGCUGAGGCGCGAAAGCUGGGGGAGCAAACGGG